GGGAAAACAGACCAAAAUUCCCUUUCAGUGCUAUAGCUAGCAAGGCUGCAGACGUCACUUGACCCCAGGAACAGGGCCAGCAGCUAGCUGAGCUAACCUCCUGUCUGUUUCCUCCUCCCUCAGGCGUAUCAGUCACCUCCAGCAACACGGGCGUGCCAGAUAUCUCUGGAUCUGUGUACUCCAAAACCCAGGUAGGUGCCCGGCUCUGGACAGAAGUAGAAAAAGAGAGAGACAGAGAUGUGGUGGCUGAGGAUCGAACCCAGUGCCUCACAUGUGCGAGGCAGGUGCUCUUCCAUUCAGCCCCAGCCCCCACACUACCUUUUUUAAAUGGUCUCUAGAUUUCAGUUUUUCUAGGAGUUUGAAUUUAGCUCUCUGAGAAGAAACCACAAAGAUGAAUAGGAAGCCAGGUGUGCUAAAAGGCCUGUAAUCCCAGUGACUCAGAGCCUGAGGUAGAAGGAUUGAGAGUUCAAAGCCAGCCUCAGCAACUUAGCAACUGAGUGAGACCCUGUCUCUAAAUAAAAUACAGAAAAGGGCUGGGGAUGUGGCUCAGUGGUUAAUUGCCCCUUAGUUCAAUCCCAGGUACCAAAAAAAAAAAAAAAAGAAAUAGGAAGGUGAGGUGUGGUACAUUGUUAUAAUGUGAUGUGGGUUAUUGUGCAGUUGUCCUGGCUUUUUUGCCCAGGGGCAGGGAUGCCAAGGAUAGUUAGCAAAUUUUCCUGUUUAUGUACAACGCUAGUUAAUUUCACAUUCAUCCUUCUGUUUGAUCCCUACAACAGAGAGGUCAGUAGCAUCCCUGUUUCAAGUAUGAGGCAACUAAGGCUGAGAGAUUGGUAUUUUCCCAGGAUUGGGUAGCUGUUAAAAGGGCAAGAGUUGGGACUGAGACUUUUAUAUCUGACUCGAGAUAUUCUGUUCCUUCUGACUAUGCUGUUUUCUGAGGGUGGGGGAGCUUUGGCUCAGAAAUUCCCAGGAUUCCUUUGCUGAUACCUUUUAUUCUUUCUCCUUCUUUCUUCCUGGACAGCAGUCCUUUGAGAAACAAGGUUUUCAUUCCGGUACUCCUGCUGCCUCCUUCAACUUGCCUUCAGCCCUAGGAAGUGGGGGGCCCAUCAAUCCGGCCACAGCUGCUGCUUACCCACCUGCCCCCUUUAUGCACAUUCUGACCCCACAUCAGCAGCCGCACUCCCAGAUCCUUCACCAUCACCUGCAGCAGGAUGGCCAGGUAAUAGCCCUUCUCCCUCUCUCCUUUCCCUUCCUCUUCCUUCCUGUCCCUUUAAACUGCCUCCCCUUUCCUUUUCUUACCCUUCCUCACCACCACCUUCACCCAAUCCUCCCCAGCGCCAGCCAGGGGCACACAGCACAUACAGACACAAGCGCACAUAACACAAGCGGCCGGCAAAAGAAAUGUCAGAGAAGGGGCAAGAUCAAAACCCUUUUUGCCCAUUUCCUUUGGUGUCUUUUUUUCCUCCACCUCCUCCCAUGGCACAGUUGUCCUCAUCCCAUCAGACCUGGGUCACACCUUCCCUUUUACCUCUCCCAGCCUUUCCCCUUUCCUGACAUUAUAGCUUUCCCUUCUAAUGGUGGAGUUCUAUUGUCAAAGUUUGUCCCUUUAUUUUCCAUAUAUCCUGGUUCUGCCUCAGCUACCAUAUUUGCAGAUGAUUCUCUGUUGCCAGCGCCAGCAGGAGGAGCAGGUAAUGAAACUGAAUGAUGAUAUGCUUGAACCCACUCCUUUUCAGACCCCAUUUCACCUCCAAAGCCUCAGGGAACUUGAAAAGAUUGCGCGGUCACACAUCGGGAUACACAAACACAAAACACCUUGCUGAGCUCUCUGGCCUCCCUAUCCUCUGUUCUCCUUCCCUCCUCAAUACCCUCUUGAUCUUUCUGUCCUUCCCCAACUCUGGAAAAACACUUGGUUACCAGAAUGAAAAAGAUUGGUGGGGCAGAAUCUGGAGCCUGAGGCUUCAGACUGUCUCUCCUUUCUUGCCUGAAACAGGCUCAUAGAUGUGAUGUGUGGUGGUGGAGAGAUCCACGGGGUGGUACAAGAGACCUCUUGAGAGCUCCAUCAUAGGUGGCUGGAGACCUAGAAUUAAGGGGUUCCCUGCUCUCAGCUUUUCAAGUUGAGGCAUUUAUGGGACUUAAUGAAAAUGGAAUUACCUUGUGGUCACUCAUCUCCCAGAACCAUAAUUCUCAUAGUACCCUUUUUUUUUUUCCAGACCCAGGUCAGGGGUAGUGAGAGAAGGUAGAAUUCAAAAUGAGUAGAACUGAGUUAUUAUCUCUAAGGUAUCUUGUCCUCUUUUCACCUUUCCCCUAUUUAAAGGUCAAAAAUGCUUUCUUGCAUGGAAGAGAGGGGGCUGUAUUAGCUAUGGAGACCAAAUUUCUAUGGUUGAAAAGUAAAUGUCAAUAGAAUCUGAGCAAGGGGAACAGGAGAGUAAGGCAGUUUGCACAUCUCCACCUGGACAUGGUACAGAUUUGUCCCACUAACUAGACACCUUUUUCCUCCCCAUCAUCCUCCCAUUCCCCUGCAGACGGGCAGCGGGCAACGUAGCCAGACCAGCUCCAUCCCGCAGAAGCCCCAGACCAACAAGUCUGCCUACAACAGCUACAGCUGGGGGGCCAACUGAGGCCCUGACCCUCCUCUCCCGGUCCUAUCUUCUGAGAGGGCUUCUCAGCCUGGAAACUAUGGAAACAGCAUCAAAGAGAGAAAGGAAUGUGGGGGGGGUUCCGCUGCCCCCCAUCCCCAGCGGCCCACCCCAUGCCUCAGCUUCAUGUCUGUCCCAUUCCUAUACCAUCCCCACCCUGUUGUAUGUAUUAUAGGAUUUGUAUUUUCUUUUUUUUUUUUCUUUCCUUCCUUUCCUCUUCCUCCUCCUCCCUUGCAUUCAAGAUUAUGAAACUUUGCUGUGGGCCCUGCCCUUCCUUCACUUCUUCCUGUUCACCCUGGUGGUAUAUGGGUGAAGUGGGGAGGUGGGACCCCCAAAUAUAUAUCAGCCCAACAGCCCUAAGUCUCCUCCUUUAUUAUUAGGAAAACAAAAACAACAACAACAAAA
rnacentral:lncRNA from 1 species